GGGAGCAAGAGAGCAACGCAGAUGCAGAGAGUGGAUCUGCCCGUUCCCGACCAGCGACUCUGCAGGUGUGAUGUCACCACAAAGAAGCUGGAAAAGGACGAGCAAGAAGGCAUGACCCUGAGGGCCUGACAUGGUUCCAUUGGCUCCAUCUAGCCAUGGCUCCAGUGCAGUGACUGAUGCAACUUUGCCAGUCAGUGGGGCGAGAGCUCCUUUUCAGAGAGAACAUCACAGCAUCACUAGCAUGUUGGAACUUCCCUGACCAGGAUCAUGACCCCAGCAGUGGAAGCAGAGUCUCAACCACUGGACCGCCAGGGAAGCCCAGGUGUUUAAUUUUGACACUGAAGGCAGGAAAGAUCUCCAAACCACAGAGACAUCAUUCAACACUCCCUUCCUUCCAAGAAGAAAAGAGAAGCAGGUCACAUUGCUGCUGAGAAGGUAGGAAGACCUGCCUGCUUUAGGUUGAAUUGUCCCCACCCACCUCAAAAGUGGUAAGUUGAAUUCCUAACCCCAGUGCCUUAGUAUGAGAUUGUAAUGUGAGACAGGGUGUUGAACAGGUGAUUAAGUUAAAUGAAGUCAUGGGGCGCACCU
ensembl:lncRNA